rnacentral:rRNA from 1 species
CAGCCGCCGCGGGAAUACGUAGGGUGCGAGCGUUAAUCGGAAUUACUGGGCGUAAAGGGCGCGUAGGCGGGUUUUUAAGUCAGAGGUGAAAUCCCAAGGCUCAACCUUGGAACUGCCUUUGAUACUGGAAGUCUUGAGUCCGGGAGAGGUGAGUGGAACUGCGAGUGUAGAGGUGAAAUUCGUAGAUAUUCGCAAGAACACCAGUGGCGAAGGCGGCUCACUGGCCCGGUACUGACGCUGAGGCGCGAAAGCGUGGGGAGCAAACAGGAUUAGAUACCCCGGUAGUCCCUGUCUCUUAUAC